GACGAACGCUGGCGGCGUGCUUAACACAUGCAAGUCGAGCGGAGCGGCGAACGGGUGAGUAACGCGUGAGUAACUGCCCCCCUCUCUGGGAUAACAGUUGGAAACGGCUGCUAAUACCGGCUAGUGGGGGAUGAUUCGCGUCCUAUCGGCUUGUUGGUGGGGUAGGGGCCUACCAAGGCGUCGACGGGUAGCCGGCCUGAGAGGGCGACCGGCCCCAAUGGGCUGAGAGACGGCGCAAAAGCCUAUGGGAGGCAGCGGUGGGGAAUAUUGCACAAUGGGGGAAACCCUGAGGCAGCAGCGCCGCGUGCGGGAUGCCGUGCUGCGGGUUGUAAACCGCUUUCAGCCAUGACGCGGUAGUGGCAGAAGAAGCACCGGCUAACUACGUGCCAGCCGCCGCGGUAAUAC
rnacentral:rRNA from 1 species